GACGGAGGGUGCAAGCGUUAUUCGGAAUUAUUGGGCGUAAAGAGCGUGUAGGCGGUCGGUCAAGUCAGAUGUGAAAGCCCGGGGCUUAACCUCGGAAGUGCAUUUGAAACUGGUCGACUUGAGUUCGGGAGAGGGAAGUGGAAUUCCGGGUGUAGAGGUGAAAUUCGUAGAUAUCCGGAGGAACACCGGUGGCGAAGGCGACUUCCUGGACCGAAACUGACGCUGAGACGCGAAAGCGUGGGGAGCAAACAGG
rnacentral:rRNA from 1 species